AUAGCGGAAGCUGAAAAGCUAUAACAGAGUAGGCA
rfam:Bacteroidetes bacterium GWF2_35_48 gwf2_scaffold_516, whole genome shotgun sequence.